AAGGGGAUUAUUAUUAUUUUUAUAUUUAAUUAUUUUUGUAGAUAAAAAAAUAAAGUUUUAUUUUGGCUUGAAAUUUUAAUUUAUCAUUAUUUUAUAUGUGAAAAUUUGAUUAAAAAUAUUUUAUUGCAGUUUUUAAUAUUAAAAAAUUAUUAAAGUAAGUUUUAGUAAUUAAUUAGAGAUUUAAUUAAAUUUGUGCCAGCAAUUGCGGUUAUACAAAUAAUUCAAUUAAAAUUUAUUAGUUAAUAAUUAAUUUUUUUAAAGGAAAUUUAUUAUUAAAAUUUUUAAGUGAAAUUUAAAUUUUAAUAUAUUAUUAUUAUUAUAAUUUGAAGUUAUUAAAAUUAAUAUUAAACUAGGAUUAGAUACCCUAUUAUUAUAAUUGUAAAUUUAUAUGCUUGAUUAGUAUUAGUUAUUUUCUUAAAAAUUAAAAAAUUUGGCGGUAUUUUAGUCUCUUCAGAGGAACCUGUUCUUUAAUUGAUAGUCCACGAUUAGUUUUACUUUUCUUUUAUAUUUGUAUAUCGUUGUUUUUGAAUAUUUUAUAAGAAUUAGAAUUUUCAAUAAGUAUAUUAUAGUUUAUUUCAGAUCAAGGUGCAGUUUAUAGGAAAGGAGAAAUGGGUUACAUUAAAUUUAUUUUUGGUUUAUUAUUUUAAUAAGUUUUAUUAAAUUGGAUUUGAUAGUAAUAAUAUAUAUAUAUAUAUUAUGAUUUUAGCUCUAAAAUGUGCACAUAUUGCCCGUCGCUCUCAUUUAUUUGAGAUAAGUCGUAACAAAGUAGAUUUACUGGAAAGUGUAUCUAGGAUUAA
rnacentral:ncRNA from 1 species